UCCUGAAUACAGCUCAGUCGGUAGAGCAUGAGACUUUUAGUAAUUUCAGGGUCGGGGGUUCGAUCCCAACUCUACAAU